rnacentral:rRNA from 1 species
GAACGCUGGCGGCAUGCCUAACACCUGCAAGUCGAACGAGACCUUCGGGUCUAGUGGCGCCCGGGUGCGUAACGCGUGGGAACCUGCCCUUAGGUUCGGAAUAACUCCCCGAAAGGGGUGCUAAUACCGGAUAAUGUCUUCGGACCAAAGAUUUAUCGCCUUUGGAUGGGCCCGCGUUGGAUUAGCUAGUUGGUAGGGUAAAAGCCUACCAAGGCGACGAUCCAUAGCUGGUCUGAGAGGAUGAUCAGCCACACUGGGACUGAGACACGGCCCAGACUCCUACGGGAGGCAGCAGUGGGGAAUAUUGGACAAUGGGCGAAAGCCUGAUCCAGCAAUGCCGCGUGAGUGAUGAAGGCCUUAGGGUUGUAAAGCUCUUUUACCCGGGAUGAUAAUGACAGUACCGGGAGAAUAAGCUCCGGCUAACUCCGUG